rnacentral:rRNA from 1 species
AGAGUUUGAUCCUGGCUCAGAUUGAACGCUGGCGGCAUGCUUUACACAUGCAAGUCGAACGGCAGCAUAGAGAGCUUGCUCUCUGAUGGCGAGUGGCGAACGGGUGAGUAAUACAUCGGAACGUGUCCGUUUGUGGGGGACAACCACCCGAAAGGGUGGCUAAUACCGCAUAAGACCUGAGGGUGAAAGCCGGGGACCGCAAGGCCUGGCGCGAACGGAGCGGCCGAUGACUGAUUAGCUGGUUGGCGGGGUAAAGGCCCACCAAGGCGACGAUCAGUAGCUGGUCUGAGAGGACGACCAGCCACACUGGAACUGAGACACGGUCCAGACUCCUACGGGAGGCAGCAGUGGGGAAUUUUGGACAAUGGGGGCAACCCUGAUCCAGCCAUGCCGCGUGCGGGAAGAAGGCCUUCGGGUUGUAAACCGCUUUUGUCAGGGACGAAAAGGUGCGGGUUAAGAGCUAGCACUGAUGACGGUACCUGAAGAAUAAGCACCGGCUAACUACGUGCCAGCAGCCGCGGUAAUACGUAGGGUGCGAGCGUUAAUCGGAAUUACUGGGCGUAAAGCGUGCGCAGGCGGUUGGGUAAGACAGAUGUGAAAUCCCCGGGCUUAACCUGGGAACUGCAUUUGUGACUGUCCGACUGGAGUAUGUCAGAGGGGGGUGGAAUUCCAAGUGUAGCAGUGAAAUGCGUAGAUAUUUGGAAGAACACCGAUGGCGAAGGCAGCCCCCUGGGGCAAAACUGACGCUCAUGCACGAAAGCGUGGGGAGCAAACAGGAUUAGAUACCCUGGUAGUCCACGCCCUAAACGAUGUCUACUGGUUGUUGGAGGGUAAAACCUUCAGUAACGAAGCUAACGCGUGAAGUAGACCGCCUGGGGAGUACGGUCGCAAGAUUAAAAC